UUUUGUUUGAUUGUUACAAAUAUAAAAUUUAACAGUCCAACUUAAUUAUGGCCCAUCUUUGCAAUCUAGGACUACUUUUAAUACCAGCGAGUAUCCUAUUCUUUCAAUUUACAAUUUGUACAGGAGUUCUUUUAGAGGGAAACUGUACUGAGAACACCAACUGUACAACAAGUGAUUCUAAUUCAGAAUGCAUGAACAAUACAUGUCAGUGUUCUGCGUUAUU